AUUGAACGCUGGCGACAGGCCUAACACAUGCAAGUCGAACGAGUGGCGGACGGGUGAGUAAUGUCUGGGAAACUGCCUUAUGGAGGGGGAUAACUACUGGAAACGGUAGCUAAUACCGCAUACCAUCAGAUGUGCCCAGAUGGGAUUAUCUGGUUGGUGGUGUACCGGCUCACCAAGGCGACGAUCCCUAGCUGGUCUUAGAGGAUGACCAGCCACACUGGAACUGAGACACGGUACAGACUCCUACGGGAGGCAGCAGUGGGGAAUAUUGCACAAUGGGCGCAAGCCUGAUGCAGCCACGCCGCGUGUAUGAAGAAGGCCUUCGGGUUGUAAAGUACUUUCAUCGGGGAGGCGUUACCCGCCGAAGAAGCACCGGCUAACUCCGUGCCAGCAGCCGCGGUAAUUC
rnacentral:rRNA from 1 species